CGAUCUGCUGGGGACAGAUAAAAUGAAUAUGGGUAUCAAUACCGCCUGCCGUCACGAUCAUUCCCUCUCCGGCCAGAGCCUCUGUGGAAGCACCCACGGUCAUUCCGGGGGUAACUCCGUCCAUGACGCUGGGAUUUCCGGCUUUUCCGAUUCCCCGGAUCUUUCCGUCCUUGAUCCCUAUAUCUGCCUUGAUGAUUCCGGUACUGUCCACGAUCAGAGCAUUUGUAAUAACAAGAUCCAGGUCUCCGUCAGCGCUUGUUGUCUUUACAGACUGCCCCAUACCGUCCC
rnacentral:sRNA from 1 species